ACGAACGCUGGCGGCAUGCCUAACACAUGCAAGUCGAACGCCCCGCAAGGGGAGUGGCGCACGGGUGAGUAACGCGUGGGGAUCUGCCCAUCGGUGGGGAAUAACCUCGGGAAACUGAGGCUAAUACCGCAUACGCCCUGUAAAGGGGAAAGAUUUAUCGCCGAUGGAUGAACCCGCGUCCGAUUAGCUUGUUGGUGAGGUAAUGGCUCACCAAGGCUUCGAUCGGUAGCUGGUCUGAGAGGAUGACCAGCCACACUGGGACUGAGACACGGCCCAGACUCCUACGGGAGGCAGCAGUGGGGAAUAUUGGACAAUGGGCGCAAGCCUGAUCCAGCCAUGCCGCGUGGAUGAUGAAGGCCUUUGGGUUGUAAAGUCCUUUUAGCGGGGAAGAUAAUGACGGUACCCGCAGAAAAAGCCCCGGCUAACUUCGU
rnacentral:rRNA from 1 species